rnacentral:rRNA from 1 species
UACGUAGGGUGCAAGCGUUGUCCGGAAUUAUUGGGCGUAAAGGGCUCGUAGGCGGUCCAUCGCGUCGGGAGUGAAAAGCUGGGGCUUAACCCCAGUCCUGCUUCCGAUACGGGUGGACUAGAGGUAGGUAGGGGAGAUCGGAAUUCCUGGUGUAGCGGUGAAAUGCGCAGAUAUCAGGAGGAACACCGAUGGCGAAGGCAAUCCCCUGGGCCUGCACUGACGCUCAUGCACGAAAGCGUGGGGAGCAAACAGG